rnacentral:rRNA from 1 species
UACGUAGGGUGCAGGCGUUAAUCGGAAUUAUUGGGCGUAAAGCGCGUGUAGGCGGCUUUGCAAGUCGGGUGUGAAAGCCCUCAGCUCAACUGAGGAAGUGCGCCCGAAACUGCAGAGCUUGAGUGCCGGAGAGGGUGGCGGAAUUCCCCAAGUAGAGGUGAAAUUCGUAGAUAUGGGGAGGAACACCGGUGGCGAAGGCGGCCACCUGGACGGUAACUGACGCUGAGACGCGAAAGCGUGGGGAGCAAACAGG